CCUAGGGACAUUUCCUCAUUUCACCCUCCAGGAUCGAUUUCUUAUGUUUUGACUUUGCAGAAGUUGGAGGACUGAUGGAAUUGGAAAAGCCUGCGUGGACCCAGGGUGGAUCCUCUGUCACGGAGGCAAGGUCGCCCAUCAGCGCCGCUCUGAACGCCGACCUUGAUCUUUAUGUUAACUUAUAAAGGAUGGGCUUGUGCGGCUGCCGGGGAGCGAGGAGCUGCUGGAGGCUGUUACUGAGGCAACGCCGGGCCGUGACGCCGCUUUGGGCUGUGCUCUGUUCUGUGCAGUGUCUGCGGAAGCGUCCGAGGAGCUGCUCUCCCGCAUCCGCAGCCAUUGUUGUCGCCAAAAGGAUUCGUCAAACGAAGCCAAGGCCUUUUUAAAGACUGGGUUCAAGGGUCACGUCUGUCCACACGCUGAAAGCAGCGAGACGGUAUUUAAAUGCGAGCACACGCUAAGCUAAGCGCCCUCAUCUACUCUAUCCUGAAAAGGUUUGUUGUUUUUCUGGGGGGAAGUGGAGCAGCGGAGGCUUCCUGGUCUCGCUGAGCGCCGUCACACCCACUCCCCGAGACGUUCUGAACGCGAGUAAAGCGUGAAGGAAGCAAAACGACGACACCGCAGAGACUCCUCAGCAGAACGUCUCCCAGCGUUAACACAAAGUCAUCCCUCUCUCCACGUCUCCCUUCUCCUUCACUUUGCUUCCCAGAAAGACUCGCGUCAGUGUCUCACUGAAAAUAGCAGCUAAUUAGCCGACCUUUCCAUUAUGUGUGACACUUGCAUUUGUGACUUAUCUUUUAAGGUGAUUAAUUGGCGUAACAUUGGGAAUGACCUCCUCCGGAUCAGGCCGCAGGUUUGAUUCGUCUAGUUUUACCGGGGAUGUGGUAUAAUGGCUGUGAUUCACCACGACGCCGUGAUCAGAGAAGUUCAGACAAAUGUCACGGUCGCACGGGCAGCGCCGCAGAGAGAUGGAGUCAUGUGGAUCGGAUGCGCACAAACAAUGCAUCCUGCUCCCCGGCGAUGCUGGGCCGCUGCACAGACACGCGCUAGAUUGGAAAAGCUGAUUUAUCGGGUGUAAAAUGUUAAUUCUGCUAUAAGGCGCGCUCAUGAAUGGUUAACGGAGGCUGUGACAGAGUCGUCACCUGAAAUGUUAAUGAGGUGAGGCCGCGUCGGGGCCGAAAGGGUCUGAGAGCGACAGAUGAGCCGAGUCCACGAGACCCUCCCAUGCUAUAAAAAGCAGCCGCGGCGCCUGCUAAUGAACGGCGGUGAGUUCACUGUGGUGGUGAUGGAUUCAUAAAUACAGCGAGUUCUGUUUUUACCCUCAACCAGCCUAUAUCUGUACUGUCCUAGUGAUUGUGACUCAUCGCUGGUGGAUGGGGCGUCUAUUCUUAUCCUUACAUAUAAGGCAGAACUUUAUUCAUCCCGAGCUAAAAGUGGACGGACUACUGUGAACGGGCACAGAGUGUUCACAGUGGACCUGCCUGUGAUCUGUCUGUUCGCUCGUGCCCCGUGAGACAAAGUGCAGCUUUGUCCUGAUGCAGGUGUGUGUGAUGACGCUAACGAUGGCUGAACCAGGUCGUUAGUGAUCAAAUCCACCCGCUGCAAUUAUGUCAUUAUAAUCAAUAACGCUGAAGGGCGACUAUAUAUUUGUAUGUAUUAAUAUAAAACAAUAAAUAAUUUAUUUUUACACCUGCAGCCUCUGUCCCACUUUCCCAGUUAGCAGCUGUGCUCAGUUCUCUAAGUAGGCUACAACAAGGCUUUUCAAAGUAAAAGCUCAUUAUUCAGCCGCGCCACUUUGUUCUUCCACUUCCUGCUUCGUCCUCAGCUUCUCCACUGAUUUAAUGACUCUUUGCUCGUUGUCCACGUUCUGGUCAUCGUCAGCUUCAGCUCCGCUCACCAGGAUUCUACCACGUGUUUCUGACCACCGUCAGCUUAGGUGGUUCAGCCUCCACCAGAGUCCGUUUAGUCUCCGCUCACAUGAAGCUGCCUGUUCCACGUCGUGAACGUCUCGAGGGGUGCGAUCGUAGAAGUACUUCCCUCGUCACCUCCACCUCCUCGUGUGUUUCAGACGCCUGAGGGAACAAACAGUUCACCGUCUGCGUUUCUAGUCAAAAGUGUGAAGAAAGAAGUAACCCUGAGCUUGAAUAACAGAAUAACAGUCAUGCACCAAACACUGACGCACUCGCUCCAGUUUGACUUCACCUCCAGCUUUUUAAACGUGAAUACUUUGUGUUCAUUGCCAUUUAGACUCAAGAUGAUGAUGAUGAUGAUGAAGAUACCAACUUCAUUUGAUAAAUGUAAUUUCCUGGUUUGACUUUUCCCCCCAAUGACAGCAGAGCUCUUUAUGCUGUGAGUGACUGGGUGAUGUAAAUGUGACGGUGAUGUCCCAGCAGCCUCA